UCGUUCGAAACUCAUUGCCAGAACGAAUGCAAAUUUCAUUUGGGAAGGAUUGGUGCUGGAAGAUGCAGCGAAAAUCAUUAAAUGUUAAUAGAAAAGUGGUUAAGUUAAUCGUGAAAGAUGUCAACGCAGGCGUAAAUGCAGUUUGUUUUGUUACUUGCUCUACGGCAAUUUCAUUACCAAAGCACCUGAUAACCGAUCAAAGAAGGUGAAUCGGGCUUACAGAGUCGCCGUUUAACUUCAAAUUUCUUCGUGAUCGGAAAACGCAUCAAACAGCAAGUGUUUUUCUUCCAACAGCACACGCCAUCGGUGGAGCAAGCAGCCAACGUUUCGUUCGUCUAGCACGCACCAUCAAGAAUUGAAAUAUUCCAGAAUAGCUCUGUGAAUAAAAAACUGCACACUUACUGUCCGAA